UAGGGAAUCUUCCGCAAUGGACGCAAGUCUGACGGAGCAACGCCGCGUGAGUGAAGAAGGAUUUCGGUUCGUAAAACUCUGUUGUUAGAGAAGAACAGCGCAUAGAGUAACUGUUAUGCGUGUGACGGUAUCUAACCAGAAAGCCACGGCUAACUACGUGCCAGCAGCCGCGGUAAUACGUAGGUGGCAAGCGUUGUCCGGAUUUAUUGGGCGUAAAGCGAGCGCAGGCGGUCAAUUAAGUCUGAUGUGAAAGCCCCCGGCUCAACCGGGGAAGGGCCUUGGAAACUGGUUGACUUGAGUGCAGAAGAGGAGAGUGGAAUUCCAUGUGUAGCGGUGAAAUGCGUAGAUAUAUGGAGGAACACCAGUGGCGAAGGAGACUCUCUGGUCUGUAACUGACGCUGAGGCUCGAAAGCGUGGGUAGCAAACAGG
rnacentral:rRNA from 1 species